rnacentral:rRNA from 1 species
CGGCAGCAUUAAUCCUUUCGGAUUGAUGGCGAGUGGCGGACGGGUGAGUAAUAUAUAGGAAUCUGCCUUGUAGUGGGGGAUAACUAUCCGAAAGGAUAGCUAAUACCGCAUAAUGAUUACGGUUUAAAGCAGGGGAUCUUCGGACCUUGCGCUACAAGUUGAGCCUAUACAAGAUUAGCUAGUUGGUGAGGUAAAGGCUCACCAAGGCGACGAUCUUUAGCUGGUCUGAGAGGAUGAUCAGCCACACUGGGACUGAGACACGGCCCAGACUCUUACGGGAGGCAGCAGUGGGGAAUAUUGGACAAUGGGCGCAAGCCUGAUCCAGCAAUACCGCGUGUGUGAAGAAGGCCUUCGGGUUGUAAAGCACUUUUGUUAGGGAGGAUGGCUAUUUAAGAUAAUACCUUAAGUAGUUGACGUUACCUAAAGAAUCAGCACCGGCUAACUCCGUGCCAGCAGCCGCGGUAAUACGGAGGGUGCAAGCGUUAAUCGGAUUUACUGGGCGUAAAGGGUGCGUAGGCGGUUACUUAAGUCAGAUGUGAAAUCCCCGGGCUCAACCUGGGAAUUGCAUUUGAUACUGGGUGACUUAGAAUGUGGUAGAGGGUAGCGGAAUUUCUGGUGUAGCGGUGAAAUGCGUAGAUAUCAGA